rnacentral:snRNA from 1 species
CGGAACGGAGCAAUCCGGUCCG